GCAAUGGAAAUCCCACCUGAGCCCUAUGUCUCUUACUUCUCACCAAAUCCUGCAACUCAAACCCAUCAAUAAAUUGGUUAUAUCUUGUCAGAUCAUCAUCAAGGCUUAUUACUUACUACAUUAUCAUAAGACCACUUGUAUUAUCUAUCACAACUUCUAAGGCUGUCAACUAACGUUAUGGCCGAAUUUGCUUUUAUGGCGGCAAGUGGCCUUGUGCAUUUACACUCUGUUCCAAAGUUUACUAAUGGAAGGAAAGGAAAAGAAACAAAAAGAAAGAUGGUUGCUUUAGCCUGAGGAUUUGUGUUCAUCAAAGCAAGCCAAAAAAUAAUCCCACAUGGCAUAACCAAGUCCAAACUGAUAUAUAACAUAACUCACCUCGCAUCUUUCCUCUUUGAAGAUUCUUCCAUCUUCGGUUUUACAGCAUCUUUCCUCUUUGAAGAUUCUUCCAUCUCCGGUUUUACAUGUUCUUCUAUCUUUCUUGCAGCAUCCUUCCUCUUUGAAGAUUCUUCCAUCUUCGGUUUUACAGCAAUUGCAUAUAUACAUUUUGUUAAAAUUCCUGGUACUGAAACAAGAAAGAUUAUGGCCCUUCGUAUGCAUAUAACAUACCUGAAAAUUCACACGAUGCAUUUGGAUCGAUAACUCCAGCAUUAGGUCGAACACAAUACUUUUUUGGGUUUGUGGUUUUGAUCUGCAAAAUGGGAAGCAAGCGGUUGCAGUUUGACAUUGAGAUGAAAAAUAUAAGAUGGAAAUGUUCAUCACCUUGAAAGCGACAUGGUGAUUGGUCUUAUUGAUCAUUUGAACAGAACAAGAGCUUUGUUUCUUCAGUUCAACUGGUGCGAAACAAAAAACGAGGUCAGCAGAUAUAUCAAAAUGAUCAGUUCUUCCUGUAAAUAAACUUUUACCAAAGCAUGACUGAUCAUUUAUCUUCUGUUCAGGUAUAUAAUAAUGUUUUUUUUUUUUUUUUUUUUGUAUAAAAGCAGUGUUAGUUUUCUGAAUUUCAUU
rnacentral:lncRNA from 1 species